rnacentral:rRNA from 1 species
UACGAAGGGGGCUAGCGUUGCUCGGAAUGACUGGGCGUAAAGGGCGCGUAGGCGGCUUGCACAGUCAGGCGUGAAAUUCCUGGGCUCAACCUGGGGACUGCGCUUGAGACGUGUGGGCUUGAGUGGGGAAGAGGGUCGUGGAAUUCCCAGUGUAGAGGUGAAAUUCGUAGAUAUUAGGAAGAACACCAGUGGCGAAGGCGGCUCACUGGCCCGGUACUGACGCUGAGGCGCGAAAGCGUGGGGAGCAAACAGG